GCAACCGGCGGCGCCCGCCCGCCGAGCGGCCCCGCUCCAGAAGGUUCGGGCCGGGUCCCGGCGCGGUUCCCCGCGGGGAGCAGCCCCACGCGUGGGGCCCCACGCCGCUCCUCCCCACGCCGCCCCUCGGGCUGCCUCUCCCGAAGACCCGUUUUUGCCCGGCGAGGCCCCCGGUCCGGCCCGGCCCGGCUUGGGGAGGGGUGUGCAGGCCCCGGCGGGGAGCAGGCCCGGCCUUCACCUCAGCUCCUGUCAGGCGUUUGCAGAACUGUAAUAUGGAAAUCCAGCCGCUGCCUCCAGAGAUGUGGAGACCUGCAGUGUCCAGAGGAAGGUGCCCGUCUCUCCCGUCAUGGCUGUGCUGGUGAGUGAGGGGCAGCAUGCCCUUGGGCAGCCAAUUUUGUUGAGGAGGAAAGGGAAGAGUCUACUUUUCCUUCCUAUAAACUCCCCUGGGGACCGCGCCACACAGUAAAUAUUUGGAGCUUACCUUUUCCAGCGGUAUUUUUUAUUUGAAAAGAUGUAGAUGGUAAGGCAACAGGAAACUACGAGACAAACUGCUCUGUCUUGUUGCCCUGACUCCAGCUCUGGUUAGGAGGUAAAAAGGCAAAUUCAGACUACAUGCAUCUCAUUUCUACGGCCUUUCUAGACAGCCACUGAUGUUCAGUGUGACAACUGCUCUGGGACGGCAGAGACAUCUAGUGGGAAUAAGAUUUUUACCAUGGCAGCUCAGCAGAGACGACACCUUUUAAACUACAGCCUUUU
rnacentral:lncRNA from 1 species